rnacentral:lncRNA from 1 species
GAGAUUUAUGGUGGAAAAAAAAAAGCAAAUAGCAAGCAGCUCUUGAUCAAGUGGUGAGAAAGCAUCUGCAGCGAGCUGUCAUUGCUUUGCCUCUUGAGUAUGGCUGAUUGCAUGGGGUCGUACCCACCUGGGGCAAGGAGCUGCCCUAAGCAUCCAUCAGCUAGAUGCGCUGCUCUUAAUUAACCCUGAUUAAUUACCAGGUGAGAACACGUCCUCCCCUGUGCACUGAGAGCAGCACAACCAACCUGCAGUUAAACAUUGACAAGUUGCCUCCACGGUGGAUUUCCAGGAAUCUGUUGAGCUAAGUAAUUGGAUCAUCAGCUCUUUGAAAGUAGAAGUGGCACAAGUGCUUUGCUUUCAUCUCUCUCACAGUUCCAAUAGGUUUGUGUGAUGAAGACCCAACCAGUGCCCAACCUGACAUUAUUCAACCCACUUUCAGCAGUGGCACCUCUAUUUUUUCACUUGUAAUUUGCUCCACGUUCUGUCCAAGUCUGGAAUUUAAAUACAGUGAGAUCACAUCCGUGAAUUUUUCUGCUAUUUGUGAAGGUGCGUGAUAAGUACUGAUGGGGGAUUGGGAUGUAAGCACUGGCUGGGGAAAGGUGCAGGGUUU